rnacentral:rRNA from 1 species
CUACGGGAGGCUCCAGUGAGGAAUUUUGCGCAAUGGGGGAAACCCUGACGCAGCAACGCCGCGUGAGUGAUGAAGGCUUUCGGGUCGUAAAGCUCUGUCAAGUGGGAAGAACUGGUUCUAAAAUAAUAAGUUAGAAUCUUGACGGUACCACUGAAGGAAGCACCGGCUAACUCCGUGCCAGCAGCCGCGGUAAUACGGGGGGUGCAAGCGUUAUUCGGAUUUACUGGGCGUAAAGGGCGCGCAGGCGGUCUUUUAAGUCAGAUGUGAAAGCCCGGGGCUCAACCCUGGAAGUGCAUUUGAAACUGAAAGACUUGAGUAUGGGAGAGGGAAGUGGAAUUCCUGGUGUAGAGGUGAAAUUCGUAGAUAUCAGGAGGAACACCGGUGGCGAAGGCGACUUCCUGGACCAAUACUGACGCUGAGGCGCGAAGGCGUGGGUAGCAAACAGGAUUAGAUACCCCCGUAGUC